rnacentral:rRNA from 1 species
ACGGAGGGUGCGAGCGUUGUCCGGAAUCACUGGGCGUAAAGGGCGCGUAGGCGGCUUGACGAGUCACUUGUGAAAUCUCCGGGCUUAACUCGGAACGGCCAAGUGAAACUGUCAUGCUAGAGUGCAGAAGGGGCAAUCGGAAUUCUUGGUGUAGCGGUGUAAUGCGUAGAUAUCAAGAGGAACACCUGAGGUGAAGACGGGUUGCUGGGCUGACACUGACGCUGAGGCGCGAAAGCCAGGGGAGCAAACGGGA